CCUACGGGAGGCAGCAGUGGGGAAUAUUGGACAAUGGGCGAAAGCCUGAUCCAGCAAUGCCGCGUGAGUGAUGAAGGCCUUCGGGUCGUAAAGCUCUUUUACCAGGGAUGAUAAUGACAGUACCUGGAGAAUAAGCUCCGGCUAACUCCGUGCCAGCAGCCGCGGUAAUACGGAGGGAGCUAGCGUUGUUCGGAAUUACUGGGCGUAAAGAGUACGUAGGCGGUUAUUCAAGUCAGAGGUGAAAGCCCGGGGCUCAACCCCGGAACUGCCUUUGAAACUAGAUAACUAGAGUCUUGGAGAGGUUAGUGGAAUUCCGAGUGUAGAGGUGAAAUUCGUAGAUAUUCGGAAGAACACCAGUGGCGAAGGCGACUAACUGGACAAGUACUGACGCUGAGGUACGAAAGCGUGGGGAGCAAACAGGAUUAGAUACCCUGGUAGUCCACGCCGUAAACGAUGAUAACUAGUUGUUCGGUCACUUGGUGUACGUGUAGUGACGCGAGACUACGACAUUAAGUUAUCCGUCCGUCGGGUAGGUACGGUCGCGAGAAUUAAACUAACAAUAGUAAUUAGUACGGCGUGAGACGUGCCGACGGACGACGACGAGGGAGGUAGG
rnacentral:rRNA from 1 species